CAGCCAAGGAUGACUUGCCGAUCGAUCGAUGCAAACUCCUCUGAUGUCUGAUCUCAUCAGAUUAUCGUUGUCGGCAAGUUGUUCUUGGCUA
rnacentral:pre_miRNA from 1 species